GAUUGUGGUUCAGCGGUAGAGCGCUCGACUAGCAUGUGCGAGGCCCUGGGUUUGAUCCUCAGCACG
rnacentral:tRNA from 1 species